rnacentral:pre_miRNA from 13 species
UCCUCUUAGCCUGUUUGCAAUGGCACUGCAUGAAUUCACGGAUGCAUUGCGACAGACCGCGGAUCAUGCGGUACCAUAGCUGACAGUGAGUGGCAUCU